GACCGCGUAGCUCAGUUGGCAGAGCAUUGGGCUAGUAUUCCAAAGGUCGUAGGUUCGAUUCCCACCGUGGCUA